AUAAAAAAAAUGUGGGUAUGUUUUUUCAAUAUAGAGCAGUCCUAGGGGGUUGGAGCAUUAAAAUUCCGACUUUCCUUAUUUUGGACCACCCUACUAUACAUACAUAUUUGCAAGCAAG